rnacentral:rRNA from 1 species
UACGGGGGGAGCAAGCGUUGUUCGGAUUUACUGGGCGUAAAGGGCGCGUAGGCGGCCACCGCAAGUCGACUGUGAAAUCUCCGGGCUUAACCCGGAAAGGUCAGCCGAUACUGCGGGGCUAGAGUGCAGAAGGGGCAACUGGAAUUCUCGGUGUAGCGGUGAAAUGCGUAGAUAUCGAGAGGAACACCAGUGGCGAAGGCGAGUCCCUGGACAACUUCUGACGCUGAGGCACGAAAGCUAGGGGAGCGAACGGG